CGUAGGGUGCGAGCGUUAAUCGGAAUUACUGGGCGUAAAGCGUGCGCAGGCGGUUUUGUAAGACAGGCGUGAAAUCCCCCGGGCUCAACCUGGGAACUGCGCUUGUGACUGCAAGGCUAGAGUACGGCAGAGGGGGGUGGAAUUCCACGUGUAGCAGUGAAAUGCGUAGAGAUGUGGAGGAACACCAAUGGCGAAGGCAGCCCCCCUGGGUCGAUACUGACGCUCAUGCACGAAAGCGUGGGUAGCAAACAGGAUUAGAUACCCUGGUAGUCCACGCCCUAGACGAUGUCAACUAGGUGUUGGGUGGGUAAAACCAUUUAGUACCGGAGCUAACGCGCGAAGUUGACCGCCUGGGGAGUACGGCCGCAAGGUUA
rnacentral:rRNA from 1 species